rnacentral:tmRNA from 1 species
GGGGGCGACAGGUUUCGACGGGGAGUGUAAUGGCAGGAUAAGCGGGCUGAGGUGGCCGUGACCUCAUUAAACAGCGGCAAAGGCAAUAACUGCCAACAACAAUUACGCUUUAGCUGCUUAAUUUUAAGUAGCCGUCCAAACCGAACUUAACCUGGGAGGUCGGGGCGGGCGUCAAACAAACCAGGGUGCUCUCAAACCAAUGCUCGGAGGUUUGAGCUAAGAGCAUCGAGCUAGCCAAGGAGUAGCGGGCCAAGAUCGCGACUUCGCGGCGAAAUCCAAAGAUCUUGGCUGCGCCCGGAGAAGGUCCUGUGGUUACCUUUUCGGACGGGGGUUCGACUCCCCCCGCCUCCACCA